rnacentral:misc_RNA from 1 species
GAUGAAGAACGUAGCGAAAUGCGAUAAGUAAUGUGAAUUGCAGAAUUCAGUGAAUCAUCGAGUCUUUGAACGCACAUUGCGCCCCUUGGUAUUCCAUGGGGCAUGCCUGUUCGAGCGUCAUUUGUACCUUCAAGCUUUGCUUGGUGUUGGGUGUUCGUCUCGCCUUUGCGUGUAGACUCGCCUUAAAAUAAUUGGCAGCCGGCGUAUUGAUUUCGGAGCGCAGUACAUCUCGCGCUUUGCACUCAUAACGACAGCGUCCAAAAGUACAUUUUACACUCUUGACCUCGGAUCAGGUAGGGAUACCCGCUGAACUUAAGCAUAUCAAUAAGCGGAGGA